UUACAGAAAAAACGGCCAAUUAAAUUUUUACUAGUCAACUCAAAAUCUAUUUGUAAAAAGUUAUAACUAUGGGACGUGCCAAAAAAGAAGGGUCUGCACAUUCACAAAAGAAAAUACUUAAAGGAUUUAAGGCAGAGCUAAUAAAAUAUCGUCGAAAUGAAAAGAGGAUUAUUGAAUAUUUUAAAAAGGAAAUAAGGAAAUAUAAAAGAACUCACAAGCGAACAAUUACCCAAAAUUUCGAAAUUGCCUUAAAGAGGCUAUUAAAGGAGGAUGCUACAAAACGUUCAAAAUUUUCGGCUUUCGUUUCAUUUUUUAUAAAAAAAAAUUAUGAAAAUUCGUACCGCGAUACAGAAAAUAAUUCGGAAAAUUUGUCAGUGGAUAGUAGUACGACGAGUAUGAGUAGUUUGAGUAGUAUUAGCAGCAUGUGUACUAUAAGUAGUUGUAAGUACGAAGAACAUAUAAAAAACAUUUCGGAAAUAUGUUCGAAAUGUAAUGCUAGCGAAGUUUCUUUUCGUACAUUUGAAUACACUUCUACACCUACUCUGUCCGAAAAUCUAUCACAUCAAGGUGAGAGCUAUUGUGAAUACAAAUCAUAUGAAGUAGAAUCACAAAAUGGAAAUGAAAUUGACCAACAAAGCUUACGUCGAACACUGCAAUUUCCGAAACUUAUUUCUGUAUCUUCAAUCAGUAAUGAUGAAUUAUCAUAUAGGCAGUUCUUGGAAGGCGAUUCGCAAGCUUUGUCAUUUAACAACAAAUUAAUGAAUGGAUUCACCACUGCGAUUGAAAAAUGCAAUUCAGAGUUUUCGGAUUCCAGUUCGGAAUCAAGUAUAUUGAGUUUACCUUCAUUACCUUCAUACCCUGGUCAACAUUGUAGAACAAGGGCAAACUCAACGAAAACUCGUAAAAGAAAUAGAAAAAAGAAAAGGAAUCGUUGAGUUUGUAUACUUAUAACGCAUUGUAGAUAACCAUUUUAAUUUAUGAAGAAACAACUUGACACGCAAAUAAUGUGUCAACUGGCUGGGUGAUUUGAGGACUUUGGAUAUAAGUUUACAAUUGCAUACUGUACAUAUUAAUAGUUCCAGAACUCCAAUUUGCUCGUAUAGCUCAAAUAAAACCAAAAAAUUUUAAUUACAUGUUUCAAAUAAUUCAGAAAAGAUACAAUAUUGAAUAAUGUGAGUAUCUUAAUGGAUAUUGAAUAUUUGAACUUAGUUCCUAUUAAAGCAAACAGACUAAUUUUCAUAUUUUCGGGUUUUACACUGUUUCCGACUAAACUCUAUAGACGCACAAAGUGGAUGCUAAAGAUAUAUGAUAACUGACGAUUUUGGUAAUAUGAAACUACAAUACCCUUUAGACAAUAUAACUGAAGACCCGAAGAUUUCUGGAGAAAAUUUGGAUUACCUGAUUGCGAAUAUUCUUUUCAAAUUUAUACUUAAACCC